CAUAAAAUAAUAAAUCCAAAAUGUGUUAAAGUUUUACAGCUUCUGAGAGACCAGGAGUAACCCAUGAAAAUCCUAACUCAUAUUUAUCUUCUGUAUCAUUUAUUAAAUAUCUGUUAGCAUUUUUCCUAAACUGUUAAAAAACUUGGAAAACAUAGAUUGAAAAUUGAGACAUGAAUAGCCAUCAAAGAGCAUAAGCCCAUCGUUCCCUCAGAAACAUUGUGUUAGAAUACGAGAUAGAUCCCCAGGGGCUGCCUCUGCGAUGGAGGAUGGAGUACUUGAAGUUUAAUAAGUAACAUCCUUGGGUUGGGUUGGGUAGAACAGAAAACUGUAUCACAAAGCAGCCCCAUAAGACCCCACAGGGAACUUAGCAACUGAUAUGUCCUCAUAAUUAGAGUCUAUGCAAGCAUACAAGGCACAUCCAAGCAACCAGUGCUUGAACCAGAGUACUCUAAGGAGGGACAGGACCUAAAAACUGCUGAAAUAUAACACUUUGCUCCCACCAUAUACUGUUACAGUAAAAAUAAAUAAAUCUUUUAGAUUUCUUUUAUACAGGAUGCUUCCAGUUACAAUGAUGUCAAAGAAUCUUUUAUUUCACAGACGCAAUUGUCAUCUUGGAAGUUUACUGCCAAAUAAGCUUUCUAAUUCUUUCUAAGUUUUGGAUGUCUAGUUCAACUCAGGGGUUCUGGCUCAAAACUCCUCUCCAAGCCUGAGUCAAACUUGCUUCUCUUGUCUUCUCACUGAAUAGCUCUACUUGGAAAAACUGCCUCUUACUGCCACAAAUUGAACUGCAUUUCACUGACUACACUGACUUCAGGGAUGAGCAGAACUGAACGGAAUUGCGCAAACACAACUAAACUUUACUCCAUUCAACUGAACUGCACGUAACUGGACUGAACUGCAAUGAGUUGAACUCAUCUCAAUUCCCCUACAUUACCUGAACUUAACUGAACUAUACUCAUUGAAUGGUCCUCCAUCCUGACUGCCCUUAAGUAGGCGAUCUUUUCCUGAAGGUUGGAGCAUGGCUUCCAGAUAGCAUGUAACAGUGGACUUUGGUAUAAAACCUACAGUGAUGUUUCAGUCAACGUGAGAUAACCAUGCAUUAAUACAUAACUAUUACAACUCAA